UUAUUGUGGCACGGUCUGUCAGGAACACCGGUGGUGGACAACACACACAUCAGUGAAGAAAACUGCCUGAAGAUUGAGUCUGAAUAUCUAAGUACAGCAGUGAAGAAGUUACAACAAAACAUCUAAAUGGCACAUGAGCAGCGAUUGUACCAAGCUCCUGGGCACCCUCGAUGUGAAACAUCUGAUCAUCAAAGAAGAUGUGAGGCUUGAUCUUCUGUAAGAGAGGCCCCUUAGGAGCCCCAGCCAAAAAGAGGGCCUCGUCCACCUCCAACCCCCAGCUCCGUAGAGUCUUCAGAACACGGGCCCCAGCGCUAGCAGCACUUCGAGCUGUGACGAGACUCGUCGGAAAAUAAAACUGCAUCUCCAUCGAAGGCUACACGCAAUUGUGUGUCACUGAGCUCAUUCUCAUUGUCGCAGGGGAACAUUGUGGCGGCUGCUAUUCCUGUGAAAAUUGCCAUUUAAAGCAAAUUUAACUUCAU